GAUACUUAAGCGCUCACACCCCGCCCAGCGCAGCCUCUCCUCGGCAAGCCCAUCAGACUGCUGGCUCUGAUAUCUCUGUGGCGUUUAAACAUGCGAUUUAAUUCAUUUUAAUUUCUCAUACUUAACAAUGAAAGGGUUAUGUUUUAAAUCAUAUUUUAGGAUUGCACUUCAAUGAUAUUGCUGUUGAGUGAUGUUUCAUAUCUUUUACAUUUGUUAUAACCGGACUGCAUGCGAAUUUGAACUUCAGAGCUGAAGGAGCGGGUGGAGAAAUAGUCCCAAUAUCAUAACAAUCUUAAAUAAAACUUCUAAAUAUGCCCGUGUGUGUACCCGUGUGCGCGCGCGCGUGCGCGCGACCCGCUCGCGCGCGCGUGUGUAUGUACAGUAUAUGCGUGAGUUUUUAAUUUAAAAUGUCUUAACUCGGAAGGAUCUGAAUCACAGGUCAUUUCAUCUGAGAUCAUUCCGCAUGUAACAGCCGGAAUCACUCACUGUUUCCCACAACGACACAAGUCAUCAGCCGUUUCCUCAAGGUCACGUCAGAGCGGUGAUGAUGUGGAGAAGGCAGACCAGACCACCACCAUACGCGAAGAUGAGGCUCGAGGCGUGACAGUUAUUUUUUCAAACUGAGUUCGGACUCCAGACCGGCAUUUCUGCUUGUUUGUACCCUGAGGUAAGUAAACUUUCUACAUUUUUGAAACGAUAUUACUGAAAUAUUUAGUAUAAUUAGUUAAUAUUUAUUUUGUUAGAGUAGGUCUUGUGCUAAAUAGUGAUACUAGAAGCUACAUUUAUAAUAUUUACCUCAGUUAAAAAAUACUGCUGGUAACGUUAAAGCACUGACGGGCUUCGUCAACCGUCAGUUAUAAAAGCUCUGUUAAAUACAUUUUGUUCCUGGUUUUAAUGAAUUACGUUACAGUCCUGCUUUAUUUCUUUGUCAUUUUAAAUUAAAUUGCCAAGCACAAUAAGACAGCUGUGUUGUAAGGAGACGAAAUUCGAGACAGGGGUGUUAUUUCAAUGAAGCGCGUGGUCAAAGGAACCGGGUGGAAGACGGUGGAAGGGAAAUUAUAUGUAAAUGUUUGUCGCAGUUUUACACAUAUUCCAUAACCAUGGUUAAUAAAUGGUCAGACACGUCACUGGCUUUAAAAUAUAAACCCCAUUGAUGCAAAAAGAUGCUGCAUGGAAUGACAAUGUGGUUUGGAACAGACUUGGUGAAGAGCAUGGAAACAUCUCUUAAUAAAAUGGCCCCAAAAAUCAUCAGGAGUGCAAAAGAAGGAAGUAAAAAACAUCUCUACGCCAAUCUCAUUGGAGAGGAAACUACAGAAGGUCUGGUGAGGAAUGCUGCACUUAUGUUAUUGCAAGCAUUAUUUCAAGAAAAUCCCAGCUUCCUUGACUGUAUAAAUAGGGAACCCAAAGGUCCCACACCAACCAUAGUGUUCAACGGCUCUCCUGAUCUUCUCAAAUCUGAAAGUAUCAACUUUAUAAUGGACAAUGUGAACUUAAUAUGUGGAAGACAUUGACAUCAUAGGCUGUGGCAUGACUGUGUCACAGGUCGGAGAAGCGAACCGCCCCUGUCGCGGAUCACGCUCCUCCUAGUUCCACCUCGAGGAGGUCCCAAAGCACCCCAAUGACCAGACAAACCAGAGAUAAGUAAAAUAUAGAAAUAGAAACUUUAUUUAAAUUAUUUAAAGCUAAAGUGGGGAAUGGGAAAGGGAAUCUAAAAAUCUCGCUUCUCGCCCUCAGGGGGAGUAUUACGGGGCCAGGGACGUUGGAGGGGUUUCCACGUGACUCCAGCUGGAACACUGCUACAGAGCGUAUCUGGGUGGGUUGGGCACACACCGUCGCGGCGGCCCCUGAUGGCAUCCACAAAGGUCCAAGACCCUCCUAAGCUCCUAGCCGUAGCAGAACUACGUAUUUCAGCACCCGAAGGACUAACAACCCAGCCGGCAUCUGCAGCGUAUAUCCAACGCGAUCAAACUUCACUCUGACAAGUAACUUCCUAUACACAACCACGCCGUCCUUUCGCCCGGACCAGCCCCGCACUCUUUCCGCCCGCUACCUAGCGGUUGCCGGAUCAGCAGAGCCUGCGAACUCUUCUGAGGCUGGUCUUCAUUGUGCUGCCCAAGGCGGAAGUUGACUCGCCCGAAAAUCGACCCUUCCAGUAACUUCUACCUUCUCUCUUUAUAUCCUCCUUCACUCACACAGCUGUGCCUUGUAUCAGCGAGUGCGGGGAUUCCCAGGGAACCCGGAAGUGCCGGUGUCUGUACAAACCGGUCCGGGCGGAACCUCUUCACUCUCCUUUUGGUUCCGCCCCGCAUAGUCACUCCGUGACAACUGUUUGCGUUUUUUUCUCCUCAAUGUUCAAUACCCUUUUGCCAUUAAGCACACAGUGACUUUAAUUUAUAAAAUAUAUGCUUAAGUUUUAAUACCUGUACAAAACAAAUGUACAAUCAACUUAUGUAAAUUGUCAUUCUAUUUAAUAGAUUGUUCAUGAAUUGUCUUUAAAUGCAUUGUGAUUUCGGUAACACUUUACAAUAAAGUUCAUUAGUUAACAUUAGUUAAUGUAUUAACUAACUUGAACAAACCAUAAGCAAUACAUUUGUUACAGUAUUUAUUCAUCUUUGUUAAUGUUAGUUAAUAAAAAUUUAAGCUUUAAUUGCUUGUUCAUGUUAGUUCAGAGUGCAUUAACUAAUGUUAACAAGAUUUUAAUAAAGUAAUUGUUGAAAUUAACAUUAACAAAGAUUAAUAAAGGCUGUAUAAGUGCAGUUCAUUAUUAGUUCAUGUUAACUAAUGUAGCUAACUAAUGUUAACUAAUGAACCUUAUUGUAAAGUGUUACCGUGAUUUCUUUUCAUCAUUUCAGACACAUUUAAAAGUAACUAAAAAUUAGUACUGCAUAUACUGUACAGUAUCUAUGCGCAAGGGAAAUAACUUGAACAAAAUUUUUUAUGUAUUGUGUAAUUAAGAGUUUAGCUGUUUAAUACAGAGAUGCAAUUUAUUUAUAUAUAUUAUUUAUAUAUAAACGUAUGUAUGUUUAUUAAAAAGUGAAAAUGCUUAAUGGAAAUAAUUAAAUAACUAAAUGGUUGAAUGUAAUGAGACAUUUUAAAUGUAAACUAAAGUUUUGCUGUCUAAUACAGAAUAAAGAAAUGUGAUUUUAA